rnacentral:rRNA from 1 species
GACGAACGCUGGCGGCGUGCUUAACACAUGCAAGUCGAACGGAAAGGCUCCAGCUUGCUGGAGUGCUCGAGUGGCGAACGGGUGAGUAACACGUGGGCAAUCUGCCCUGCACUCUGGGAUAAGCCUGGGAAACUGGGUCUAAUACCGGAUAGGACCUUUCUCCUCAUGGGGAUUGGUGGAAAGUUUUUCGGUGCAGGAUGAGCCCGCGGCCUAUCAGCUUGUUGGUGGGGUAAUGGCCUACCAAGGCGACGACGGGUAGCCGGCCUGAGAGGGUGAUCGGCCACAUUGGGACUGAGAUACGGCCCAGACUCCUACGGGAGGCAGCAGUGGGGAAUAUUGCACAAUGGGCGAAAGCCUGAUGCAGCGACGCCGCGUGAGGGAUGACGGCCUUCGGGUUGUAAACCUCUUUCAGUAGGGACGAAGCGCAAGUGACGGUACCUGCAGAAGAAGCACCGGCUAACUACGUG